CAGUAGCCGCGGGAAUACGAAGGGUGCAAGCGUUACUCGGAAUUACUGGGCGUAAAGCGUGCGUAGGUGGUGGUUUAAGUCCGUUGUGAAAGCCCUGGGCUCAACCUGGGAAUUGCAGUGGAUACUGGGUCACUAGAGUGUGGUAGAGGAUAGUGGAAUUUCCGGUGUAGCAGUGAAAUGCGUAGAGAUCGGAAGGAACAUCUGUGGCGAAGGCGACUAUCUGGGCCAACACUGACACUGAGGCACGAAAGCGUGGUGAGCAAACAGGAUUAGAUACCCCUGUAGUCCCUGUCUCUUAUAA
rnacentral:rRNA from 1 species